rnacentral:rRNA from 1 species
AGUUUGAUCCUGGCUCAGAUUUGAACGCUGGCGGCAGGCCUAACACAUGCAAGUCGAACGGUAACAGGAAGCAGCUUGCUGYUUYGCUGACGAGUGGCGGACGGGUGAGUAAUGUCUGGGAAACUGCCUGAUGGAGGGGGAUAACUACUGGAAACGGUAGCUAAUACCGCAUAACGUCGCAAGACCAAAGAGGGGGACCUUCGGGCCUCUUGCCAUCGGAUGUGCCCAGAUGGGAUUAGCUAGUGGUGGGGUAACGGCUCACCUAGGCGACGAUCCCUAGCUGGUCUGAGAGGAUGACCAGCCACACUGGAACUGAGACACGGUCCAGACUCCUACGGGAGGCAGCAGUGGGGAAUAUUGCACAAUGGGCGCAAGCCUGAUGCAGCCAUGCCGCGUGUAUGAAGAAGGCCUUCGGGUUGUAAAGUACUUUCAGCGGGGAGGAAGGGAGUA